AGAGUCGGCGCUCCCGCAGGGGCCUCCGAGUGCGGGGAGGCCGCGGGGCCCGGGUCACGGCACUAAGGGGGGAUGGGGUGCAAGCGAGCAAGCGAGGUCUGCGGAGCGGGCCGUGGAAGGGCUCCGGGACCCGCUGAAACCAUCUGAACCCAGCCAGGGGGCAGCGGGCAAGAGAAAAGGGACAGAAUAUCUAAUGAAGCAGAAACUGGAAUUCGGUGGGAGAGGUGAAGAGCUCUUGCUGGGGGUACACCUGCGAGGAGCACAGAAAACGGGCGGCGGAUGGCGGGGAGACUCCACGGAGGUGGAAGAGAGGAGCCAGGCCCGGAAGAACAGGGAAGGGGAUGCCACCUGGGGCAGAGGAGGCGCCAGUGCAGCCUCUACCUGCAGGCGGGCGGGACGGGCAGCUCAGGUGUGACUGGGAGGAGGGGGCCGACUGGGGAAGGGGCCGGGAAGAGCUGAGGGCGCACUAGGCGCCGCGCAGAGGCGCCUUUGAGUCGGCAGCCGCGGAGCCAGCGCACGGGCAUCGGCGGGACCCGGCGGACGGAAAGGCGGAGUGGGGGUCUUUGGACUGCACGACUAUAAUUUCAUGUGUGUGAAAUUCAAGGGGAAAAAGGAAACAAUACAUAAUCCAGCAUCACCAGUGUCACACUUCAGGACCUGAUGAAAUGUUUUAUCUUCUGAAAAGCUUUCCUGGCUCAGAUGAGGUGACUCAUGUCAGCCUACACAAAGGCUUCUUCAUAUACUAGAAUUUCUACUAUAAUUUUUCAGCCUUUCCACAAAACAAGUCUUACCAUAAUCCAGCAACAGAGCAAAAGAGAAGUCAAUGAUGAGAAGCUUGAUAAUGUAAAGGUUUAGUUCUAAGUCUGUAGCUUCUCAUGGAUCGUGCAAAGCACCACCAGGACAGACAUCUCAAGCACAUUUGAAGAGCUCCUGUUUCCUAAGUAAGACAGCAGCAGCAAGACUGCAAUCAUUUCUGGGAAGGCAGUAUCAUCAUAAUGCAAUAUUAGCUACUGUGAUCUUCUAUCAUUUCCUUCCUGGAGAGUUAUGACUGUGGCAUUGAAGAUUUAAGACCUACAGCCUCAACACUACUUACUACAAAUCUCUCACAAAGCUGCUGCAAUAAAUCUCGUGGAGGAAAGUCAUUGCAUAAAAAAAUCCUCAACUCCAGGGAGUUGGCCAUUUAUUUUCCUAGAAAAGGGGCUGUGAUGAGAGACACUCCAUGCUCCUUUAACUCCAUGGAACAGAACCCAACAAAACAUUCAUCAUGGAAAGUUGACUGAUGGGCCCAGUGAGACUAGCUGGGGAAGGAAGAUGGAAAGAGAAGUGCCCCAUCCAAGGCCUGCUCCUUUUCCUAGCUGCAGCCCGGAGGGAUUUCCUCUUAGCUUGAGGAUUGACUUUCCAUAGAAUCAGCACCACUGAGGGUAAGCUUCCCUGAAGACAAACUCUGUCAUUGGAGAGCUCAGCCAGGGGUCUAAAACUGGACCCUAUGGACUCCACAGAUUUAUUUAGUCUGCACAGUGUUUAAAAAUGUUUUUAGUUAGGGCCAGGCAUGGUGGCUCCCACCUGUAAUCCCAGCACUUUGAGAGGCCGAGGUGGGUGGAUCACCUAAGGUCAGGAGUUUGAGACCAGCCUGCCUGACAUGGCAAAACCCAGUCUCUACUAAAAAUACAAAAAUUAGCUGGGCAUGGUUGCUCAGGCCUGUAAUCUCAGAUACUUGGGAGGCUGAGGCACAAGAAUCACUUGAACCUGGGAGGCGGAGGUUGCAGUGAGCCAAGAUCGCACCAUUGCACUCCAGCUUGGGUGACAAGAGUGAAACUCCAUCUCAAAAAAAAAAAAAAAAGUUUCUAGUUAGUUCCCAACAUAAAAAAUUAACAAUUUUGCAAAGAAAGAUAAAAUCCAGAUUUUGGGCUCCCCUAAACAAAUUGGGAUAUCUGAAAACAGUGGGCCACAUUCCUACAUUCCUGCCCCUGUUGACAGUAUGCGCCUGCUCUAAUUUUACUUCCCCUUUUACCCUAACUGCCCUGUAGGGAAUGGAGUUUGCAAUCCCCAUACUAAUCCAUCACCCUGCAGGUCCAUUCCCCUCCUCCCUGACCUCUGUUCUGAUAAGGGGUGAGAGAAUGAACCCCCAUAUGUAUUGAUGAGAAAAUACAACUGACUAAUCCCACCUAAACCAUGACCUCAUAUAAAUUCAGAAGAUCUUUCUAACAUGGCAGGGAGGCAGCCUAGUAUAAAGCAAAGAGCACAUGCUUUGCGAAUGUAAACCAAAAAUAAAAGUUGAAGGCCCUCCUCACCAUAUGAAUGGUCUCCUUCCUUUGCCAGGGCACCCUAAAAUUUAACUGGUUGAGGCCAUGAUGGGUAGUAGGGGUUGGACAUGCCUCAUUAUACCCUUCCAGCAGUAACAUCAACACAGACUUUAAGUCUGAUAAGAAACAUUUACAGUCUAUUUUCUCUAAAGCCUGCUACUUGGAGAUAUAAAACCUAGGUCUCCACAACCCCUAUUGUAACCCAGCCAUUUCUUUCUAAUGAUAAUAAGUCUUUCAACCAAUUGCCAAUCAGAAUAUGUUUAAAUCUUCCUAUGACCUAGAAGCACCCCACUCUUUGAGUUGUCCCACCCUUCCAGAUUGAACCAAUGUAAAUGGUUCAAUUGAUUGAUGUGUUAUAUCUCCCUAAAGUGUAUAAAAGGAAGCUGUACCUCAACCAUCUUGGGCACGCGUCUUCAGGAACUCCUGAGUCUGUGUCACAGGUGUGUCCUUAACCUUGGCAAAGUAAACUUUCCAUUACUUAUAAUGGCAAAAACUGCAAUUACUUUUGCACCAACCUAAUAAAUGGAUUGAGACUUGCCUCAGAUACUUAUUGGUUUAUACCUAGAGGCAGACCUUGGCUCAAAUCCCAUCUCUCCCUUACUCUGGGAUAUUGUCCAACUUGCUCAGCCUCUUGAAACCUACUUUGCUUACAGCAAAAUGGGUAUAAGGGGAUCUUUCACCCAAGCCUUUUGUGAGGACUAAAUGUGGUAAUGGACAUUAAGUGCCAGACCCCUUGAAUGUGCCAUCUUCUCUCAGCUUCUAUAAUGUCAUGCUGUCAGUUCCCUCCUUUUCUUUUUUUCUUUUCUUUUCUUUUUUUUUUUUUUUUUUGAGACGGAGUCUUGCUCUGUCCCCCAGGCUGGAGUGCAGUGGCACGAUCUCGGCUCACUGCAAGCUCCGCCUCCCGGGUUCACGCCAUUCUCCUGCCUCAGCCUUCCGAGUAGCUGGGACUACAGGCGUCCGUCACCGCGCCUGGCUAAUUGUUUUUGUAUUUUUCUUAGAGACUGGGUUUCACAGUGGUCUCGAUCUCCUGACCUCGUGGUCCGCCCGCCUCGGCCUCCCAAAGUGCUGGGAUUACAGGUGUGAGCCACCGCGCCCAGCCUAGUUCCCUCCUUUUCAUGGCUUCUUUGCUUCAUCUUUUCUGUCUCCUUUGAAGGUAUGCCUUCCUGGAAUAUACCAUAAAUGUCAGUGUUCCUCAGGAUUCUAUCUUGACCUGACUCCCCCGACCCAACUGCUAGCUUUUCCCUCUGUCUAAUGCUGGUACAGAUACAUAAACUGAUAGGUAGAUUACAACACAAUUCGAUUUUCUGUUUUGCUUUUUUUUUUGGCUUAUUAUUACAUAAACUUUUUUUCAUUGCUGCCAUACAUUCUUCAAAAUAAACACUUCGGGGGGCGAGCUGGCCCAGCACUUUGGGAGGCCAAGGAGGUGGAUCACUUCAGGUCAGGAGUUCGAGACCAGCCUGACCAACAUGGUGAAACCCCCAUCUCUACUAAAAAUACAAAAAUUAGCCGGGUGUUGGUGCAAGCACCUGUAAUCUCAACUGCUCGGGAGGCUGAGGCAUGAAAAUCACUUGAACCCGCGAGGCAGAGGUUGCAGUGAGCCAAUAUAGUACCACUGUACUCCAGCCUGGGCAACAGAGCUGCGAGACCUUGUCUCAAACAAAACAAAACAAAACAAAAUAAACACUUCAUGGCUGAACAAUAUGCCAUUUCCUGAAUAGAUUGUAAUUUACCUAAUCAUUUCUCUAAUAGUGGACACUUAGGUUGUUCUAAUUUUGAAAGGCAGGAAUACCAAGAAUGUUUUCUUGCACAUGGCAGAUUAUUUCUCAGUAUAGGCUCAUCCUUUCGAGUAUAUGGCAUCUUUUCUUCUUUCCCUCCUCUCUCUCCUCAGAAGUACUCAAGGCCCCGGAGAUACUUUGGCUGUAUCCCCACCAAUCUCAUCUUGAAUUGUAGCUCCCAUGAUUCCCAUGUAUCCUGAGAGGGACCCAGUGGGAGGUAAUUGAAUCAUGGGGGCAGGUCUUUCCCGUGCUGUUCUAGAGAUAGUGAAUGAGUCUCACAAGAUCUGAUGGUUUUAUAAAGGGCGGUUCCCCUACACAAGUUCUCUCUUGCCUGCCACUUUGCUCCUCAUUUGCUCUCUGCCAUGACUGUGAGCCCUCCCCAGCCAUAUGCAACUGUGAGUCAAUUAAACCUCUUUUCUUAAUAAAUUACCCAGUCUCUGGUAUGUCUGUAUUAGCAGUGUGAGACAGACUAAUACAGCCCUUAUGUGUCCAGAAGUACUGACUUUCUUGGAUGAUACCUUAAGUAAAGCCUAAUAAAGCUUUAGUGACUGAUACAUUUUUAAAAAUGAAGUAAUUAUUUAUGUGUAAUGAGACAAAUUAUUUAUUUCAGAGUGUUAUUUGCCUUACUCUCUUCCCCCAGCAAAAGGAGUCCUCAAGUGGCCAGCCACAUUUUCUCAUUUCUCCUUUCUUCAAAAACUGAUGGGAUCUUGCUUGAUGAAGUCACAUAACAAGUGAAUACAGCAAAGAGAGAGGGAAGGGGGAGGAAAUAGCCGUUGGGAAUGGAGUGUUGUUGGAUGAGCUUUGUGAAGUGUGGGAAGAGAAAGAUACUAGAGGAGACCGAGACAAAUGGAUAGGUGAAGAAACAGAAUUUUAGUAAGUGGUGCUGUAUGCUAUAUAUGUGGAUUUGCCUCAAAGUUUUAAAAAAUGGCAAGCAG
rnacentral:lncRNA from 1 species